ensembl:lncRNA
GCCUGGUGAUGAGGGGUCACCAGGUGGGGUUAUAGUGAUGGAGAGGCCUGAUGAUGAGGAGUCACCAGGUGGGGUUAUAGUGAUGGAGAGGCCUGAUGAUGAGGAGUCACCAGGUGGGGUUAUAGUGAUGGAGAGGCCUGAUGAUAAGGGGUCACCAGGUGGGGUUAUAGUCAUGGAGAAGCCUGAUGAUGAGGGGUCACCAGGUGCAACAGGUGGUGAAGGGGACGGAAGAGACACCACACCUGUUCACAGCACUGGCACUUCUGAUACCACAGAGAGAAUAAAGUCGACGGCGCAGGUCAAACGUCUGAUUUAUGACCCUAUGUCAUGAUGACGUGUGCAUGCCCUUAUUUGGGCAUCCGGUCAGGACAUCCUGGCGGGAACUGAUCACGUGCUAAUGCCCAUAUAUGGGCAUCCGGUUCCUGUUCUCACGCAUUAGAG